rnacentral:rRNA from 1 species
GACGAACGCUGGCGGCGUGCCUAAUACAUGCAAGUAGAACGCUGAAGCUUGGUGCUUGCACCGAGCGGAUGAGUUGCGAACGGGUGAGUAACGCGUAGGUAACCUGCCUGGUAGCGGGGGAUAACUAUUGAAAACGAUAGCUAAUACCGCAUAACAGUAGAUGUUGCAUGACAUUUGCUUAAAAGGUGCAAUUGCAUCACUACCAGAUGGACCUGCGUUGUAUUAGCUAGUUGGUGGGGUAACGGCUCACCAAGGCGACGAUACAUAGCCGACCUGAGAGGGUGAUCGGCCACACUGGGACUGAGACACGGCCCAGACUCCUACGGGAGGCAGCAGUAGGGAAUCUUCGGCAAUGGACGGAAGUCUGACCGAGCAACGCCGCGUGAGUGAAGAAGGUUUUCGGAUCGUAAAGCUCUGUUGUAAGAGAAGAACGAGUGUGAGAGUGGAAAGUUCACGCUGUGACGGUAUCUUACCAGAAAGGGACGGCUAACUACGUGCCAGCAGCCGCGGUAAUACGUAGGUCCCGAGCGUUGUCCGGAUUUAUUGGGCGUAAAGCGAGCGCAGGCGGUUAGAUAAGUCUGAAGUUAAAGGCUGUGGCUUAACCAUAGUACGCUUUGGAAACUGUUUAACUUGAGUGCAAGAGGGGAGAGUGGAAUUCCAUGUGUAGCGGUGAAAUGCGUAGAUAUAUGGAGGAACACCGGUGGCGAAAGCGGCUCUCUGGCUUGUAACUGACGCUGAGGCUCGAAAGCGUGGGGAGCAAACAGG